AACGAACGCUGGCGGCAUGCCUAACACAUGCAAGUCGAACGAGACCUUCGGGUCUAGUGGCGCACGGGUGCGUAACGCGUGGGAACCUGCCCUUAGGUUCGGAAUAACUCCCCGAAAGGGGUGCUAAUUCCGGAUAAUGUCUUCGGACCAAAGAUUUAUCGCCUUUGGAUGGGCCCGCGUUGGAUUAACUAGUUGGUAGGGUAAAAGCCUACCAAGGCGACGAUCCAUAGCUGGUCUGAGAGGAUGAUCAGCCACACUGGGACUGAGACACGGCCCAGACUCCUACGGGAGGCAGCAGUGGGGAAUAUUGGACAAUGGGCGAAAGCCUGAUCCAGCAAUGCCGCGUGAGUGAUGAAGGCCUUAGGGUUGUAAAGCUCUUUUACCCGGGAUGAUAAUGACAGUACCGGGAGAAUAAGCUCCGGCUAACUCCGUG
rnacentral:rRNA from 1 species